rnacentral:rRNA from 1 species
AUGCACGCUGGCGGCGUGCCUCAUACAUGCCAGUCGAGCGCACAGACGAGGAGCUUGCUCCUCUGACGUUAGCGGCGGACGGGUGAGUAACACGUGGAUAACCUACCUAUAAGACUGGGAUAACUUCGGGAAACCGGAGCUAAUACCGGAUAAUAUAUUGAACCGCAUGGUUCAAUAGUGAAAGACGGUUUUGCUGUCACUUAUAGAUGGAUCCGCGCCGCAUUAGCUAGUUGGUAAGGUAACGGCUUACCAAGGCGACGAUGCGUAGCCGACCUGAGAGGGUGAUCGGCCACACUGGAACUGAGACACGGUCCAGACUCCUACGGGAGGCAGCAGUAGGGAAUCUUCCGCAAUGGGCGAAAGCCUGACGGAGCAACGCCGCGUGAGUGAUGAAGGUCUUCGGAUCGUAAAACUCUGUUAUUAGGGAAGAACAAAUGUGUAAGUAACUAUGCACGUCUUGACGGUACCUAAUCAGAAAGCCACGGCUAACUACGUG